UACGGGGGGGGCAAGCGUUGUUCGGAAUUACUGGGCGUAAAGGGCUCGUAGGUGGCCAACUAAGUCAGACGUGAAAUCCCUCGGCUUAACCGGGGAACUGCGUCUGAUACUGGAUGGCUUGAGUUUGGGAGAGGGAUGCGGAAUUCCAGGUGUAGCGGUGAAAUGCGCAGAUAUCGGGAGGAACACCAGUAGCGAAGGCGGCACUCUGGGCCGGUACUGACGCUGAGGAGCGAAAGCGUGGGGAGCAAACAGG
rnacentral:rRNA from 1 species